rnacentral:lncRNA from 1 species
CUCGAUACGUAGCUCUAUGUAAACGGCGAGAAACAAGGAUAGCAUAGUUCUCGCCAAGUUGUCGAUGAAAAUGGAGAGCAAAGAGAUAAAGCAAAAGACACAAGAACAAAGUAGUAUUUUCCGACGUAACCUGGGGAUUAGAAGAGCCUCUAAUUACCACCUGAACGAGUAAAAACUGGUGAUUCUUCUCUCAGUAGCCAUCAGAUCUUGAACGUCUACUAUCCGUGUAGAUAUGCGUAUUGUUG